UACAGAGGGGGCAAGCGUUGUUCGGAAUUACUGGGCGUAAAGGGCUCGUAGGCGGCCAACUAAGUCGGAUGUGAAAUCCCCAGGCUUAACCUGGGAACUGCAUCCGAUACUGGAUGGCUUGAAUCCGGGAGAGGGAUGCAGAAUUCCAGGUGUAGCGGUGAAAUGCGUAGAUAUCUGGAGGAAUACCGGUGGCGAAGGCGGCAUCCUGGACCGGCAUUGACGCUGAUGAGCGAAAGCUAGGGGAGCAAACGGG
rnacentral:rRNA from 1 species